rnacentral:rRNA from 1 species
AUUGAACGCUGGCGGCAGGCCUAACACAUGCAAGUCGAGCGGAGCGGCGGACGGGUGCGUAAUGUAUGGGGAUCUGCCCGCUAGAGGGGGAUAACUACUGGAAACGGUGGCUACUACCGCAUACUAUCAGAUGAGCCUAGGUCGGAUUAGCUAGUUGGUGGGGUAAAGGCCUACCAAGGCGACGAUCCGUAACUGGUCUGAGAGGAUGAUCAGUCACACUGGAAAUGAGACAAGGUCCAGACGCCGACGGGAGGCAGCAGUGGGGAAUAUUGGACAAUGGGCGAAAGCCUGAUCCAGCCAGGCCGCGUGUGUGAAGAAGGUCUUCGGAUUGUAAAGAACUUUAAGUUGGGAGGCGUUACCAACAGAAUAAGCACCGGAUAACUUCGUGCCAGCAGCCGCGGUAAUAC